UACGGGGGGGGUAAGCGUUGUUCGGAAUUACUGGGCGUAAAGGGCUCGUAGGCGGCCAACUAAGUCGGACGUGAAAUCCCUCAGCUUAACUGGGGAACUGCGUCCGAUACUGGAUGGCUUGGAUUUGGGAGAGGGAUGCGGAAUUCCAGGUGUAGCGGUGAAAUGCGUAGAGAUGGGGGAGAACACUCGUGGCGAAGGCGGCCAGCUAGACCAGUUCUGACACUGAGGCGCGACAGCGUGGGGAGCAAACAGG
rnacentral:rRNA from 1 species